rnacentral:rRNA from 1 species
GCCCGCUCAGAAACGUACAAAGGAAGUUGAGGGGCCCCGGCACAAGCGGAGGAGCAUGUGGUUUAAUUCGAUGAUACGCGAGGAACCUUACCUGGGCUCGAACGUAAGAUGACUGUAGGUGAAAGCUUACAUCUCUUCGGAGCAUUUUACGAGGUGCUGCAUGGUUGUCGUCAGCUCGUGCCGUGAGGUGUCGGGUUAAGUCCCAUAACGAGCGCAACCCCUACCUUUAGUUGCCAUCAGGUUAAGCUGGGGACUCUAAAGGAACUGCCUACGCAAGUAGUGAGGAAGGCGGGGAUGACGUCAAAUCAGCACGGCCCUUACGUCCAGGGCUACACACGUGCUACAAUGGCCGAUACAGAGGGCAGCUACCUGGUGACAGGGUGCAAAUCUCCAAAGUCGGUCUCAGUUCGGAUCGGAGUCUGCAACCCGACUCCGUGAAGUUGGAUUCGCUAGUAAUCGCGCAUCAGCCAUGGCGCGGUGAAUACGUUCCCGGGCCUU